rnacentral:lncRNA from 1 species
UUAUACUAAUCACAUAUACAGGCAUAUCCAUUUUGACAAAAUAUUUUUAUUCUUAUUUUUAAAAAAAUGAGAUUAUGCAUUUGGCAGCAACGUAUUUUUUCGUUGGCAACUGUUUUCCAGCGACGGAAUUUGGGAACGAUGGCGAGGCUAGUUCGCCGAUGGGUUUAGACGGAGAUAGAGAAAGGGCGACGGGAAAGGGGAGUGGGAGACGAUGGCGCAGCGGCGAGACUGAUUCGUCGGUGGAUAUAUUGUCGCCGUUGUGGCAUUAAUUCCGGCCAGAUCUGGCCAGUUGGUGGACUGAUUGCGCGAGAAAGGAAAAAAAGAGAGGUCGCCGACGUUAUUAUUGGUGGUUACCGAUUUUGGGGUGACGGAAAAAGGAGAAGGUGACAUAGCAAUGGUCACCGAGAAAGGGAGAAGGACGGCAGCCAUGGGGCUUCGCCGGUGGAUCUGAAUGGGAAAAGGGGAAGGGGAGAUCGGCGUGAUGGCGCCGUAGUUCUGUUGGCUAGCAGCAGUAAGGAAAGAGGAGGGAACGUGACGCCAGAUUCCAUGGCUAAGGACGACUCCUACAAAAUUUUUCACCGAAAAGAGUGGAAGAAAAACUGUUUGGCCAUUUUUUCAUUUAUUGAUUUUUGUCUCGAUUUUUCUUGCUCUGUUCACUCUCUUUUGCUAUUUCUGUGUUUGUAUCAGUAUCCUGCGUAUGUGUA